rnacentral:rRNA from 1 species
UACGUAGGGUGCGAGCGUUGUCCGGAAUUAUUGGGCGUAAAGGGCUCGUAGGCGGUCUGUCGCGUCGAAAGUGAAAACCCAGGGCUUAACCCUGGGCCUGCUUCCGAUACGGGCAGACUAGAGGUAUGCAGGGGAGAACGGAAUUCCUGGUGUAGCGGUGAAAUGCGCAGAUAUCAGGAGGAACACCGGUGGCGAAGGCGGUUGCCUGGAGCUUUGCUGACGCUGAUGCGCGAAAGCGUGGGGAGCGAUCCGG